GUGGCUGCCCGCCGGCCUUUGCUGAGGAUGUCAGCGUCAUCCCUGAGGCAUAGCGGGAAGAGGAUGGUUGGGGAAUUCGAGGACUUCUCAGGAAGGAUUGGGGGUGCUGCUCCACGCUGGGACCCUCCUCAAGGGCUGGGUGUGGGCACCAUGAAGCAGAUUGGACCCGAAAGAUGGCUGCUCCCGGCAGGAGCCUUUUUUCAAGCUCUGCUUCAUGAGAUGCACUAAAGGCUGGCAGGAGGAGCACUAGCCGGGCAGCCACCAGAAGCCAAAAGUUCAAUGACUUCAUCUUUGGGCCCACUGAUGAUUGAACUAUUUACAGAAGUAGAUGGCAUUGAACUUUUUUGCAUUGUUUCAGUUGAGAGUGAUUCCUGGCAUGAGGAAAACAGAAGCAGGUGUGCUGAAAUAAAAUCUGCUCUGGAGGGGGAGGCAUGUCCCCAGCCACUUGCACUUAGGCUCUGCUCUUCCAGAAUGGCCAUGAACACUGGAAAGCCUGCAGUUCGAUUUAAAAGAGGACUUCUGGCCAGUGAUUGACUUGGCAAGGGGGAGUGUUUUUUCGUAUUUGACAAAGGCCUUAAAAGUAAAACUGGAGUGAAAGGAGGUUGAAUGGGAAAGCUGGGAAUCGGGUCAUCAUGACACUGGUCAGUUUGAAGCAUUGUGACACAGCAGAGCUGUCCCAUAGGCAACAGGCAUGGCCUUUGGCGUGCUCAUACCUCCCAGGAGCUGAGCGCCUGGACCCACAGAUGCAGUGUGGAUCCCUCCCAGCCAGCAGAAUUGGUUCCCAUUUCCACUGCCAGGGGCAGUGGCUCUUGUAGAGUUAAUUAAUCUCUUCAUACAGUGUAAUUAACCUCUUGGAAUGACUUAUAAACAACAUGUUGUAAAAUCCAAGCAUUUAAAUGUGACAUAAGUGCCAAGAUUGUCUUAAAAAGCCUCCACACUGAAUCCUUUCAAAUAACACAUUUUGUGGUCUUUCUGACAUAGU